CACUUUACUUACAUAAUCUUCCAUAGUGACUAUUAAAGCAGGUUUACAUGUAGUGGUAGUAGCUGCUAGGUAUUAACAUUUGACACCAUUUGUCACUAUCUGGACAGCAACAAUGUACUUUUUUCCUGUCUAAAACUUUUUUUUUUUUUAGUUUUAGACAGAAAAUACUAAAAUAAAGUUUUCUGUUUAGACAUUCUGAAAAUUUUGAAUCUUCUACUGCAUUUUGUAAAAAUUUCAGUCUUACAAGGUGACAUUAAACAAGUAAGAUUCUCCUUUCCCCAACAUCACUACUAGUUUUUUCACAAGUUAUUAUUUCUUUUUAUUUCUGGACUUUAUUGGAAUUGAGUAAUGACACAUUUUUCCUUGUAUUUCAACAAGUGUAUUGCAUUCACUUUAUUAGUUUCCUGCUAAUAUGUUACAUCAAAGGCAAAGGAAGUUUGCCCAAGAUAGUCUUCAACUAAUUUUCCAAUGUCAAUAUAUUUUUAUUCUGUGAUUAUUGAUUAACUUGUCAAUGAUAAUGACAAGAGGAUAAUUAUGGAUUAUACCACAUGGAUUAUACCAAUUAUGGAUUAUGGAUUAUAUCAUAAUUAUGGAUAAUUACCGUAAUUAUGAUAAUCUUGAUUCCUGGAGCAUAAACUGUUUGAACCAGAAAGAGCCUCAGAUCUUACCUGGUCACAUCACUGUGGUCUGAACAGCCUCUGUGUCUGCGUGUUCAGCAGAAGCUGUUAGCGGCAGCUUUCCAGGUGCCACAGGUACGCUGGGGACACUUGAGGAAGGAGUGUUGCCUGAUCCGGCUUCACAGUAAAUCUCCAUCCAGGAAGGCGUGACCUGGGCUAUAGAAGUGAGAGUAUUUGCUACUCACCAAAUUUGUGCUAGACACUGUGUGAAUAGUUAUUCAUGCAUCACUGAGUUCUCAUCAUGCUUCUACGAGGGAGAUAUCAUUAUCCCCAUUUUGCAGAUGGGUAAAACUGAGGCUCAGAACAGCUGGUAGUUUGUGAAGCUAAGACUUGAAAUCCCACGUCUGGUAUGAAUUUACUUUUCCUUUUCCAUUAUAAGCUCUCCCCUCAACCCCACAGCCCAGUGGAAGGUACUACAACUGUCUCCCUGUUUGAAUAUCUGGUAAUAGGGAUGGGUUCUUACUGAAACAGACACCUCCAGUCCUGCUGCUGUGCCUGACAUUUGCUGCUUCUCUACCUGGGAUAAGGCACUGGAGUUAGAAGCAUGGAGUCCACGGAUGAGAAGAGUAAGUUUCAGAAAUCCCUUUCAGGACCCCAUCGUCCUUCCAAGAUGGAGCUGCUUAGAUCUCCUCCCUAUCCUUGCUGUACAUGCCCAAGAUUUUGUGAACAUGAUGUGUGCGAUUUCAAGAGCAGGAUCUGGAGCUUCCUUCUGGUAUCUAGACUCAUGAUAGAUGCUCAAUACAUGUUGACUGGAUGAACAAACAAAGAUAGGGUCCCUAUUCCAGGAUGGUAGCUAAUUCUGUCCUUGGCACUCACAGGCUGCCACUUGGGCCCAUUUGUGGCAGAAUCGGCAGGAGGGGCCCAUGGGUUGAUCUCAUCACUGUGGCCCCACACGGUGAAGAGGGCUGCCGUUCCUCAGUGUCCACGGGGUUUGUGGCCAGAGGAGAACUCCUGCCUUGCUGCUGAGGGGAUAGCUGCAAUGGUGACUGAUCUUCCUGCCCACUUCCUCCUGAGCAAGCUGCAUUGAAGACACGACCCAUUCCCACUCUAACGGAUGGAGUUAGUCAAGAGCGGAGAGCAGAGAGGGCUGGACUAAAUGUCCCUUUCCUUCCUACCUGCUGGUGAAGUACUGUGUUGAAUACAAUGAAAUCCUAGAAGUAUAUAGAAAUAGCAGAAAAUUUAAUCCAAAGCUAAUUCUGCUUCACCUUUUUAAAAAUUUGGAAAUCCUGUAAUAUAUUUCUGUAAUAAAUUAAAUAGCACAGACAGUGACUUUCAGGCAAAAUUCUGCAAAGAAACCUGCUUUCCUGGUCUCCUUAUUCUUCUUAAAAUAAUAGAGAAAAGCUUGAUUUAAAAAAAUAUGUCUAAAAAGUUGUCAUUAAGUAUGACAUCAGGGCACUCCAUGCAGACUGAGUUUCUGGUGAUGGUCUACCGAUUUGGAUUGCAAUAGAUGACUGUAACUCAGGGGUUCUUAUGAUUAUGUGUAUAAAAAUAACUAGUUAAUUGCUCAAUGUGUCUGACAUUAGCCUUCACUCCCCCUCUGCUGGUGAAGCUCUCAGCUGAGUGCAGUGGAGGGACUGCUGUUGGUCCUAUUUUUUGUCAUUGUCUGGAAUUCUCAGGUCUUCAUCAUUGUUGAGUCCCUUUGGAGCACCCCUGUUCCUGCUCCACACCUUGUCCAUGACAAAGGGGCUGUUUCUUGACUGGAGUUUUUCACCCCAACUGAAAAGAUUCUCAGCCUCUCUCUGCAACUGAUUGACACUUAUAUCUUAAGGACAGUCACCCACCCCUGUGUUUAAAUCUGUUUGGUUGCCACUGAAUGUAAGGGAGAGUCUUUCCUCUAGCUUAGUCUUUCUAGAAUAUUCUGUAUUGUUACCUGGACAUGAGUUUUCUCCCUCCAAUCUGAAGACUACUCUGGAUUUAGUGUGAGGGAAACCAGACUUGUCUAGAGUAUAGACAACAAAUUCUCCCCCAUUGUGAAUGUGGUUCUCUCUCCCACAUUGUCUGUGUCCAGCUGGUGAAGACUCCAGCUCUCCCAACCCACAGCUGCACACAUUUGAGGUUUUACUGUUUAACCAUUUCACAUCCACAAGCUAUACUGGUGCAGUUUAGACCACGCCUAACUAAAUAAAUGAAAGGAGAGAUUUUGAGUAGCACCCAAAGACCUGUUCCAUGGUGCAUGGUUAGGAACAGGGAUACAGAUCUCUCCUGAGUAAAGUAACUUAUUUAGACACAGUUCUAAAUAAUUAGAACCAACUUCUAAAAUAAUUCAGGGUUUACAGGCACAAAGGCUAGUCAUUUAAACACACUGCACCCAUUCUCAGAAGUGGAUUCUGAACAAGUCUGUAGCUCAGGACAGUUCACAGAAAGGGCUCCUUAGUAGCACAGGCAGCACAAUGGAAAUGCUUCUCUUACUUAACUCAGAGUUCAUUUUUAGCACACCCAGACGGCCCAACUCGUUAUACAUUUAUUACUCUGUAAUGCACUUGGCAACACACACGAUGCCCAUAGCUGUCCAUACCAGGGAGCUCACACUGCUUCAAUCAGACCUGUCUCAUCCCCUCAGCAGCCCCAUUAAGUCAAAGAGUAAAUUAUUAAUAAUGCUGACUAAAAUCAAAGCUCCAAAUGAUGCAAAUAAAAUUAACCAACAUGAACUGGAGAAACAGAAGUAUAUAAGAGAGCAGAGAGAAGCCUGUUACCCUCCCCUCCCAGAAUGUGUCUUAAAAGUUAUCAUUAGGUAUUGCAAUGUGGUAUCCAAUGAGGAGUGAAUUACUAAAAAAGCGUACUUAUUUAAGAAGGGAGCCCAGGAAAUUUGUUAAAUUACUAUGUAGUAAAUAGCAUGAGCAGACCAUGAUAUUCAGGCAAAGUAGAGUAUUCUGUAAAGAAUACUGCUUUCUUGGUCUUCCUACUGCUGUUAUAAUAACAAAGGAAAGCUCGAUCCAAAAGCUUUUCAAUUUGGUCAAAUAAAACCAAGGAGUCCUGACUUAGAGAAUCUCUUUCCAAAGAUGAAUGGUAGAUGUGAGAUUCCUUGGGAGCCUGCGUCCUACAGCAGCCUGGGAAAUCCCUGCUCUCCAGCAGUAGCAGGUGCUCACGGUCAUUUCCGGGAGAACACAGGGCAUGGCAGGAAGGGGGGUCAUCAGGAAGCUUCCCAGCACCUCUUAAUGAUGAGACCACUGCCUGACUUUGGAGGUCAGCCUUUUGCCUGGUUCAGACUUCUAGGAGGCUUUGUACCAUGAAGAGCUCAAAACCAAUGUUGAGUUUUAGUGCCUUCUCACUAGGUGAGAAUGAAGAAGUGUCUUCUAGAGGCAACACUCACCAGUUGUUAUAGGAUUCCAUCUGCUGGGCCAGCAGGGGUCCCAAGCUGGGCCAGUUGGGCCCUUCCCUGGACUUUACUGGGUGCUUCUGGAAGAGGGCUCAUCAUUGCCUUGAGUGAUGGAGCUGCAGAACUUCAGGCCUGAGCUGUCCUGUUCUCUUCAGCAGGGCAAAAUUUAGGCCAAUGGAAAAAAUAAUAGUCUGAGCUCCUGGAGUUAGGAGAGAAAAAGAGAGGAAGGCAGUUUUCCCCUCUUAGGCCUCCUCCACCCUCGUCACUCUUCAUCUUGGCCUUCGAAUCUGUGAACUACCCAAAUGUCUUUUAAAUAAAUCAUCAAGUGUUGUUCAUGCUGAUUUGAAUUGAGAUUCUGUAUCUGGCAACUGAGGCCACCUUAAAAAUGUGAUAAAAGAAAAAAAUAGAAAACACACAAAAACAAAAUAGAUAAAUAAAUCUAAGACGUGAGUAUUUGAAGAAAUAAAUGACAUGGACAAAUCCUGGAAAUGAAUAUAGAAGUAAAGAGAAGUAAAGUGUAUAUCAGAAGGUUUUUAUGAUUCCAAAAUUUUGGGCCAAUAUACGAAAUCUUAAAGGAAACAACAGAUAUGAAACAUAAAAAUAAGAGACUUCUACCAAACAAGUAUAAUAUACCUAAUAGAAAUAAAAUUCAAAAAAAACCAAACAGAAAUGGUUUAAGUAUGACAGAAAAUUAAUAGGUAUUCUCACUGAAAAAUGGCAAGAAAAAAACCAGCACUCCAAUAGAAAGUUGAUCAUAAUUAAUGAACAGAGAGUUCACACAAAUUGAUUAAACAUAUUAAGUUUGAAAGCUAAAAAACAAAACAAAAUGCAGGUACAAAUUAAUACCACCUUUUAACCAAAUAAUACAAGAGGAGUGAUAAUGGUAGAUUUAUGCUGCUGUUGGUAAAUUCAUAGUUUUUUUUUUGUUUGUUUUUUUGGUGGCAGG
rnacentral:lncRNA from 10 species